GAUGAACGCUAGCGGCAGGCUUAAUACAUGCAAGUCGUGGGGCAGCAUGAAUGUAGCAAUACAUUUGAUGGCGACCGGCAAACGGGUGCGGAACACGUACACAACCUUCCUUUAAGUGGGGAAUAGCCCAGAGAAAUUUGGAUUAAUACCCCGUAACAUAUAGAAGUGGCAUCACUUUUAUAUUAUAGCAGCAAUGCGCUUGAAGAUGGGUGUGCGGCUGAUUAGAUAGUUGGCGGGGUAACGGCCCACCAAGUCGACGAUCAGUAACCGGUGUGAGAGCACGACCAGUCACACGGGCACUGAGACGCGGGCCCGAUUCCUACGGGAGGCAUCAGUAAGGAAUAUUGGUCAAUGGACGCAAGUCGGCACCAGCCAUGCCGCGUGGAGGAUGAAGGUCCUCUGGAUUGUAAACUUCUUUUAUCUGGGAAGAAAUCUACCUUUUCUUGGGUAGUUGACGGUACCAGAUGAAUAAGCACCGGCUAACUCCGUGCCAGCCGCCGCCGUAAAAC
rnacentral:rRNA from 1 species